ACAAAAAGGACAAGUCUGACAAAGCACGAGUCUGACAAAAAGCACGAGUCAAAGGACAAAGACGGCAAGAAGGACAAGAAUAAAACAAAGGGACAUAAGGAGCAUAAAGAGCAUAAGGAGCACAAGGAAGGUGAAGGAUCAGGCAACUCAUCUUCAUCUUCAUCAUCCUCAUCUUCAUCCUCCAGCAGUGAUGAGGAGUGAUGCUUCCUGGGAGAGCGGACGGCUCCGUCAGUCUCUGAUGAUCUUGUCUAAGUAGACGUGCGGGGUUGAGUGUGCAGCAGGAGCAACUUUUCUUCAUGUCCUUUCAUUGGCAUCACAGAAACAUGCUGGUCUUGUGUAAACAAAUCUGCUGAUUCCUAGAAGUAAAUGUUUUGACAACAGAAAACCUGCAGGAGUUUUUCCCCCCCCCCAUUCUUCUGUCAAGUAAAGUGUUUUCUUCACCACAA